CAAAGGUGUUCCAGUACUGAAGGGGUUAAAAUGAGAAAAGACAGGUAAUACAAGAAAGUUACUGAAUAUAAAACCUUUGUAGAAAAAAAAAGUGUGUGUGUGUGUGUGUGUGUGUGUGUGUGUGUGUGUGUGUGUGUGUGUGUGUGUGUGUGUGUGUGUGUGUGUGUGUGUGUGUG
rnacentral:lncRNA from 1 species